rnacentral:rRNA from 1 species
GAUGAACGCUGGCGGCGUGCCUAAUACAUGCCAGUCGAGCGAACGGACGAGAAGCUUGCUUCUCUGAUGUUAGCGGCGGACGGGUGAGUACACGUGGAUAACCUACCUAUAAGACUGGGAUAACUUCGGGAAACCGGAGCUAAUACCGGAUAAUAUUUUGAACCGCAUGGUUCAAAAGUGAAAGACGGUCUUGCUGUCACUUAUAGAUGGAUCCGCGCUGCAUUAGCUAGUUGGUAAGGUAACGGCUUACCAAGGCAACGAUGCAUAGCCGACCUGAGAGGGUGAUCGGCCACACUGGAACUGAGACACGGUCCAGACUCCUACGGGAGGCAGCAGUAGGGAAUCUUCCGCAAUGGGCGAAAGCCUGACGGAGCAACGCCGCGUGAGUGAUGAAGGUCUUCGGAUCGUAAAACUCUGUUAUUAGGGAAGAACAUAUGUGUAAGUAACUGUGCACAUCUUGACGGUACCUAAUCAGAAAGCCACGGCUAACUACGUG